rnacentral:rRNA from 1 species
AUUGAACGCUGGCGGCAUGCUUUACACAUGCAAGUCGAACGGCAGCACGGACUUCGGUCUGGUGGCGAGUGGCGAACGGGUGAGUAAUACAUCGGAACGUACCCAGUAAUGGGGGAUAACUAUCCGAAAGGAUAGCUAAUACCGCAUACGCCCUACGGGGGAAAGAGGGGGAUCGCAAGACCUCGUGUUAUUGGAGCGGCCGAUGGCUGAUUAGCUAGUUGGUAGGGUAAAGGCCUACCAAGGCAACGAUCAGUAGCGGGUCUUAGAGGACGAUCCGCCACACUGGAACUGAGACACGGUCCAGACUCCUACGGGAGGCAGCAGUGGGGAAUCUUGGACAAUGGGCGCAAGCCUGAUCCAGCAAUGCCGCGUGCGUGAAGAAGGCCUUCGGGUUGUAAAGCGCUUUUGUCAGGGAGCAAAUCCUUGUGGCUAAUACCCACCGGGGAUGAGAGUACCUGAAGAAUAAGGACCGGCUAACUACGUGCCAGCAGCCGCGGUAACAC